rnacentral:rRNA from 1 species
UACGAGGGGGGCAAAUGUUGUUCGGAAUCACUGGGCGUAAAGGGAGCGUAGGCGGGUUUUAAGUCAGGUGUUUAAUCCCGGGGCCCAACCCCGGACAGGCACUUGAAACUGGGAAUCUUGAAUAGUGGAGAGGUCAGUGGAAUUGGGGGUGUAGCGGUGGAAUGCGCAGAUAUCAGGAAGAACACCCGUGGCGAAGGCGGCUCUCUGGGACGGUACUGACGCUGAGACGCGAAAAGCGUGGGGGAGCGAACAGG